UUUACUCCUACGGGAGGCAGCAGUCAGGGAAUCUUCCGCAAUGGACGAAAGUCUGACCGGAGCAACGCCGCGUGAGUGAUGAGGCUUUCGGGUCGUAAAACUCUGUUGUUAGGGAAGAACAAGUGCUAGUUGAAUAAGCUGGCACCUUGACGGUACCUAACCAGAAAGCCACGGCUAACUACGUGCGCAGCAGCCGCGGUAAUAAAA
rnacentral:rRNA from 1 species